rnacentral:miRNA from 1 species
AGCAUUUGAAUCAUCGAUGAUU